rnacentral:rRNA from 1 species
UACGUAGGGUGCGAGCGUUGUCCGGAAUUAUUGGGCGUAAAGAGCUCGUAGGCGGCUUGUCGCGUCGGCUGUGAAAACUCGGGGCUCAACCCCGAGCCUGCAGUCGAUACGGGCAGGCUGGAGUCCGGCAGGGGAGACUGGAAUUCCUGGUGUAGCGGUGAAAUGCGCAGAUAUCAGGAGGAACACCGGUGGCGAAGGCGGGUCUCUGGGCCGGAACUGACGCUAAGGAGCGAAAGCGUGGGGAGCGAACAGG